rnacentral:rRNA from 1 species
GGUGGAUCAGUGGCGAACGGGUGAGAACAGGUGAGCAACCUGCCCGGGACUCUGGGAUAAGCGCUGGAAACGGCGUCUAAUACUGGAUAUGAGACGUGAUCGCAUGGUCGUGUUUGGAAAGAUUUUUCGGUCUGGGAUGGGCUCGCGGCCUAUCAGCUUGUUGGUGAGGUAAUGGCUCACCAAGGCGUCGACGGGUAGCCGGCCUGAGAGGGUGACCGGCCACACUGGGACUGAGACACGGCCCAAACUCCUACGGGAGGCAGCAGUGGGGAAUAUUGCACAAUGGGCGGAAGCCUGAUGCAGCAACGCCGCGUGAGGGAUGACGGCCUUCGGGUUGUAAACCUCUUUUAGCAGGGAAGAAGCGAAAGUGACGGUCCCUGCAAAAAAAGCGGCGGCUAACUACGUGCCAGCAGCCGCGGUAAUACGUAGGGCGCAGGCGUUAUCCGGAAUUAUUGGGCGUAAAGAGCUCGUAGGCGGUUUGUCGCGUCUGCUGUGAAAUCCCGAGGCUCAACCUCGG